rnacentral:rRNA from 1 species
GCGGUUAGACGAGAGGCCCAAGUUGAUGGACAACGGCGUAAAGGGUGGUUAGGGGUCACAAUAAACUAAAGCUGAAUGCUCUCAAGACUGUUAUAUGUGUUCGAGAGUUUGAAACCCAACUACGAAAGUGGCUUUACUAGACCUGAGUCCACGAAAGCUAAGGAACAAACUGGGAUUAGAUACCCCACUAUGCUUAGCCCUAAACAUCGAUUUAAUUACCCCAUUAGAUCCGCCCGGGAAUUACGAACAUAAGUUUAAAACCCCAAGGACUUGGCGGUGCUUUACAUCCACCUAGAGGAGCCUGUUCUAGAACCGAUAAUCCCCGUUAAACCUCACCCUCUCUUGUUCCAUCCGCCUAUAUACCACCGUCGUCAGCUUACCCUGUAAAGGAACAACAGUAAGCAGGAUUGGUACAACCCAAAACGUCAGGUCGAGGUGUAGUGUAUGGGAGGGGAAGAAAUGGGCUACAUUUGCUAAUUAUAGCAAACACGAAUAAUGCAUUGAAACAUGCAAUUGAAGGAGGAUUUAGUAGUAAGCAGAAAAUAGAGUGUUUAGCUGAAACUGGCCCUAAAGCGCGCACACACCGCCCGUCACCCUCCCCAAGCUACAAAGUCGACAUAACUAAAACCUCAUUAUUGCAAAGGGGAGGAAAGUCGUAA